GUUUGGAAAGCUCUGCAGGAGAACUUGAGACUCUUAAUCUCAGGGUUGUGGGUUCAAGCCCCACAUUGGGCA